UAUUUUAGUGCAGACGGGUUCCAGACUGUUGUUUGGUGAUCAUAAUUUACUGGCGGCCGGUUGGAAAUUGUACUAUGUGACGCAAAAGCAGACAAAUGGCUGUGGUGGCCAUCAACUUGGAUUUUGAUUCCCUUACCAAUGCUGAACUUUAAAAUUGUGAUAAAGUGAAAGAUUGUUUUUUGUUCUGUUUUUUCCAUCAAUCUUCUACAGAGGCGAUUCAAUAUUCUUAUAAACCUACAAACCCGCUUAUAAGUUGGUCGAAUGUAGUUCUUCUAUUCGAUAAACCAUGGAGAGAGGUGAUUCAAUUCAUAGCCAGGGACAUGAGAAUGAUAUGUCAGACCCACUUCUCACCGAGGAUGAAACAGUUGUACUUGAAGCUGAGCAUGAUGAAGUGAAGUGCAGUGGAGCUCUAGCAUGGGAGGAAGUAAAGAAACAAUGCUGGAUAGCAGGGCCCAUGGUGUCUGUAAAUUUGUUACAAUUUAGCUUGCAGGUGAUGUCUAUUAUGGUGGUGGGGCAUUUAGGGGAGCUUGCUCUCUCUAGUGCAUCUAUUGCUACUUCCUUUGCAAAUUUCUCCGGCUUCAGUGUGAUGAUUGGAAUGGGAAGUGCAUUGGAAACACUAUGUGGACAGGCCUAUGGGGCAAAGCAAUACCAUCAGCUUGGGAUUCACGUGCAGAGGGCAUUUUUUGCUCUUGUUUGUGUGAGCAUACCACUUGCUGUGGUGUGGGCAUACAUGGGCAAUAUUCUAAUUGUAUUUGGGCAAGACCCUUUGAUAUCCUUUGAAGCAGGGCAAUAUGCCAGAUGGAUGAUUCCCAGUCUGUUUAGUUAUGCAGCUUUACAACCCCUUGUAAGAUUUCUCCAGUCACAAAGCAUUGGUAUUCCCAUGAUGCUAUGCUCUGCAAUUACUUUGUGUCUCCAUGUUCCCAUUUGCUGGGUUCUGGUAUUUAAAAGUGGAUUAGGAAAUAAAGGAGCUGCCUUGGCAAACAGCAUUUCCAACUGGGUCAAUGUGAUACUUCUUUUACUGUAUAUUAAAAUAUCACCUGCAUGCAAGAGGACAUGGAUAUCCUUUACAAGCGAGGCAUUGCAUGAUAUUAAACAUUUUCUCAAGCUUGCCAUUCCAUCUUCAUUCAUGAUCUGCUUCCAGUGGUGGUCCUUUGAAAUACUUAUUCUCUUGUCAGGUCUGUUGCCCAAUCCAAAACUUGAGACAUCAGUUCUUUCAAUCUGCCUUAACACUAAUUCUCUAGCAUCUAUGAUUCCCCUUGGUUUUAGUGCUGCUGUAAGUACACGAGUUUCAAAUGAACUGGGAGCUGGACGCUCACAAGCUGCCCGCUUAGCAGUGUAUGUAGUGUUCUUUCUAUCAAUCAUGGAGGCAGUCAUGAUAGUAUGUCUUUUAUUCUCUAUACAAAAUGUUUGGGGUCAUGCUUACAGCAAUGACAAGGAGGUCAUUGAUUAUGUUGCAAGCAUGAUCCCAUUGCUAGCAGCCUCAACAUUUUUGGAUGCAAUCCAAUGCAUGAUUUCAGGUACUGCUAGAGGAUGUGGGUGGCAAAAAGUAGGUGCUUAUGUUAAUCUUGGUGCAUACUACAUGGUUGGCAUUCCUGUAGCUGUCCUCUUGGCCUUUGUACUGCAUAUUGGUGGGAAGGAUAUGCACAAUAUAGUCAUAAUAUCUUCCUCACAACCUCCUGAACUGCAUUCUUUUUACUGGAGUGUGUUUGGAAGGUAGAGAGAGGGAGGACGUGUAGAGAAGCAAUGAAGAAAAUGGUGUGAGAAAGAAGAGUAUGGAGUGUGGGUGGGAAGGGUAUGCAGUCAAGAUGCAACAUGUUACACCAUCUACAACAAGAGGAAGUGAACCUUGUGCGUAUGUGAUAGAGCUGCCUUCUCUAUUGGAGGCCUGCAAUGGCUGUGACAUCCUAAUCCACGCAGCAGCCCUUGUAUACCCUUGGCUUCCUGACCCCUCCAAUUUUAUAACUGCAAGAAAUGCAAGAGAGAGAGUACAUGCAUCAUCAUUACCCAUAGUUACUGAUGAUAUAAUAAAGGUAUGAACUUUUUAUUCUGCUUUUAAAAGAAGGCUCUAUUUUGGUGAAAUUCCUAUUAAGUUAAGAAUGAAAAACUGUUUGAGAUAAAAGACAUGGAAAAAAGCAUCUAAAGAAAAAUGCUUUGACAUUAUAUUGGGAAAAUCAAUGGAUGCAUUCUCAUGGAAUAUCCUUAACUUAUUGUCACGAACGUUUUUCAUCAAAGAGGAUGAUAAUAAUAAGUAUCAACCUUGAUGCUGAUAAGUUUUGUAACCAGUUUUCAAGCUCUUGAAGCACAAAGUUGAUUUUUGGCUGCCUUCAGCUCUAUAAUGUAUCAGGGUACUCCAGCUGUAAAGACAAUACCAUUAUUAAAUGAAUAUUUCCCUUAAUUUAUUCAAUAAGCUUGAUAAAGUUGGAAAGAGCGGCUUCAUUGUUGGAGAUUGGUGUUAAGAAAAACCGUGCGUCUGCUUGUUAAAUUCUGAUCCAAUUCAAAUCAAUGUUC